UAGUGACCUUAAUUUCGUAAAUAAUUCUUAAUUUGUUUUAAGUUAUUUAAUUAUAUUAUGUGGAAUAUUAUUUGUUUCUAAACUUGUUUUUUUUUCGCUUUAUCAUCAUCGGAUAAGGGCGCAAUGUAAUGUCUUCUGGCACUUCCACAUGAUCAUCAUCUGUAUGGAGUUCUCCACUUGGAAGACGAACCAAGAAGAAGUCUGAAUUAUUUGCAUUUUCAUGGAGACUAAAAUAAAGAGGACUUCCAAAACCAUUCCAGAAGAAAAACUCGAUCAAGUUAAAAAUCACCUUUUUGAAUGUGGGCAGAAAUUGUUUUUCCUCCUCUGAUGCUCCUGGUGUUGCGUAUGUUCUGCAAUCGUAAAAGCUUGGAACACAACUUGGAACUAGACUUCAAUUUAUAAAAGGAUACGAGAAAAACGUACUCAGAAUCGAUAUCUUCUAUUUGCUGUUAAGACAAAUACAAACAUCUGCGUCCGGAAUGCUGAGCUCAAUGUCAGGGUGUGCGAUGUCUUAGGAAGUCAUGGAGUCAAACCACAUGAACAUCAAGGGCUACCAGGCCAGAAGCAUUGGUAAUCUGAAUAUUCACUCGAUCAGUCCAUGGGUUAUAGGAAUCCAUUUAAGUGUGACAUGGUGAAAGUUCGUGCUAUUUGACCCAAACGAUCGUGUCUGUUCCACGACGGCAUCAAUUUCUUGUAUUGGAUGAAGAACUUCAACGACCGUUGCAUCUGCAAUCUUCUAAAUAAAUCCUGUAAACCAUUUAUAAGCAUUUCAACACUCUGGCGGUGUGAUCGUGCAGGAGCCACCGAAAUAUCAAAUGAAAUUAAAGGAUCUAUGCGAUAAGACUGUUGAAUGCAAAACGCCUCAAAAUAAAAACACGAUGAAGUUGGUACAAAAUAUCAAGAAACUUCAACAAUGUAUUUUAUUUAUUAUGAUUUUCUUUUUUUUCAAUUAAAUAAUUAU